UAAAAUCACACAAAAACAAGCAACCAAACAAACAACGAAUAAACAUGACAAGUAUAGCAAAGUAAAAACCAGACAGAGUAGAGUUUAAGAACGCAAAUCUGGUUUUGGAGAUAGGUGAUCUUGUUGUCUUUCCACAGCUUUGAUCUCGAACUGGUUCGGAAUUCUGAGCGAGAGUUCAUUGGUUUCAAAUCAGACUUCUUCUGCUGGGUUGAUUUGAUUGUGCAGUCUGCAUUCUUCUCAACUUGUUUCUUCUGCACGGCAGGCAAGCACGAGGUAGAAGUGAUGGUCUAUUUCUUUCUUCAAUCUUUCCAAGUGCCAACCUCUUCCUUUCUUUCUCCUUGUCCCUAGCUAAGGAUGAAUUGGCACAUUGUCUCCACAUGCUUCGAGGUAUCAUUUUCACUUCCUUUAUUUGUUCCCCAGGUAGAUGUAGUAGACGAAGAGGAAGCAUAAGAUGUUGAAGAUGAGUACUCGAGAGCAGGGCUAGGUAAGCAAUCAGGAAGGGGUUCCUGGCAGUCAAUUCCAAAUCGGAAGAUUGAUACCAAGUGCUGGCUGAUUACUCUCUUUCUCCUUAUCCCGCAGAUAAAAACAAAGACAAGGAGAAGGACAGGGAGAAAGCAUGAUAUGAGAUACUCUUGCUUUCAACCUUCAUGAUAUGAAAUACUUUUGCUUUGGAUGAGUUGUUUACAGAGGUACCCCAAGGAAUAAGGAACACUGAGUGACUCGAGAGGCUUCGUUGGGAAGGCAUUUUCGGAGAUGACAGAAGGUUAUGUAUGUCUGCCUUGCAAUGAAGGGUGAAGGUCGACAUUUAUAGGAAAUAAUAACCGGUAUUAUUCUUUCACUCUUGUCGGCAACCGUUGGAUGAUUGUACAGUAAACUUCACAGAUUGCCCGUAAUUUCUUCAAGGCUAAGUGUGUAUGUGAUAGAUGCUGACACGUCUGGAUAAAGCUGAUGCCUCUUUGAUAUCUAGAAUCGAUGCUUCGACAAACUGCCCUUGAUUUCCGCAAAGCUGAGUGUGUAUGUGACAGACGCUGACA
rnacentral:lncRNA from 1 species